AGCGCUCUUAGUUCAGUUCGGUAGAACGCGGGUCUCCAAAACCCGAUGUCGUAGGUUCAAAUCCUACAGAGCGUGAUUCCAUUCUUGUUAGAUCGAGAAUGACACUGAAAUAUUUGAACAGCAGUCUAAAGUCUGAAUUUGACCUCCUGUGGAUUAGGAUUAAAAAUAAAGAAAUAGGAGGUCAAUAAAAAAAAAAAGAUGUUAAUUAAUCAAAGGUCCAAACGCGGAGGCAGUUCCAGUCCUUGUCGCAGCGCAGUAGUGAGUAGGUGAUCCAACACCAGAGAUAAAAGACGCAGCAGAUUCAUAUACUGACCUUAGUUAUAUAGAUCGUUUACCUAGGUACAGAAUGAGACCCGUUAGUGAGGUCCAUAUCGGUAAUAGAAAGACCUGCCACCAAAAGCAUUCCGAUGGAGCAGAAGUAGACCCUUCCCCCGCCAUAAUAGCACCACCUAGCUUCGCUGCAUCGGGAUAGUAGUAGCACAUAUCUUUUUAUAGUGAUCGUUAUAGGGAUAAUUAAACCAAUGAUAGAGUUGACCUAGCGACAUCCAUCCCUGGUUUGUCUCCGACCGGGAGAUAGAGACUACUUCAUGCGCAACUUCAACAUCUCCUGCCAAGGGAAGGGAAGGGCUAGGCCUUUUUUUUUUCAAGACCGCCUUUCGGAAAACGCAUUGGCUUUCACUCAAGUUCGAGGAUCCAUUAAAUAAAGCAAAAAAUGCACGUUACAGACGAAAGGUAG